CCUACGGGUGGCAGCAGUGGGGAAUAUUGCACAAUGGGGGAAACCCUGAUGCAGCAACGCCGCGUGAGUGAGGAAGUAUUUCGGUAUGUAAAGCUCUAUCAGCAGGGACUAGAAAAGAAGGUACCUGAAAAAGAAGCCCCGGCUAACUACGUGCCAGCAGCCGCGGUAAUACGAAGGGGGCAAGCGUUAUCCGGAUGUACUGGGUGUAAAGGGAGCGUAGACGGAAAGGCAAGUCAGAAGUGAAAACCAAAGGCGCAACCAUUGGACUGAUUUUGAAAAUGUCAAACUAGAGUACGGGAAAGGGAAGAGGAAUUCCUGGGGUAGCGGUGAAAUGCGUAGAUAUUAGGAGGAACACCAGUGGCGAAGGCGUCGUACUGGACCGAAACUGACGUUGAGGCUCGAAAGCGUGGGGAGCAAACAGGAUUAGAUACCCCGGUAGUC
rnacentral:rRNA from 1 species